rnacentral:rRNA from 1 species
GAUGAACGCUGACAGAAUGCUUAACACAUGCAAGUCAACUUGAAUUUGGGUUUUUUAACUUAGAUUUGGGUGGCGGACGGGUGAGUAACGCGUAAAGAACUUGCCUCACAGCUAGGGACAACAUUUGGAAACGAAUGCUAAUACCUGAUAUUAUGAUUAUAAGGCAUCUUAGAAUUAUGAAAGCUAUAUGCGCUGUGAGAGAGCUUUGCGUCCCAUUAGCUAGUUGGAGAGGUAACGGCUCACCAAGGCGAUGAUGGGUAGCCGGCCUGAGAGGGUGAACGGCCACAAGGGGACUGAGACACGGCCCUUACUCCUACGGGAGGCAGCAGUGGGGAAUAUUGGACAAUGGACCAAGAGUCUGAUCCAGCAAUUCUGUGUGUACGAUGACGUUUUUCGGAAUGUAAAGUGCUUUCAGUUGGGAAGAAAAAAAUGACGGUACCAACAGAAGAAGUGACGGCUAAAUACGUG